rnacentral:rRNA from 2 species
GGACCCGCACAAGCAGCGGAGCAUGUGGUUUAAUUCGAAGCAACGCGAAGAACCUUACCAGGGCUUGACAUCCUUCUGACCGGUCGGUAAAACGACCUUCUUUUCGGAGCAGAAGUGACAGGUGGUGCAUGGUUGUCGUCAGCUCGUGUCGUGAGAUGUUGGGUUAAGUCCCGCAACGAGCGCAACCCUUGUCAUUAGUUGCCAUCAAGUUAAGUUGGGCACUCUAAUGAGACUGCCGGUGAUAAACCGGAGGAAGGUGGGGAUGACGUCAAAUCAUCAUGCCCCUUAUGUUCUGGGCUACACACGUGCUACAAUGGCUGGUACAAAAGGAAGCGAUACCGCGAGGUGGAGCCAAUCAAGAAACCAGUCCCAGUUCGAUUGUAGGCUGCAAUUCGCCUACAUGAAGUCGGAGUUGCUAGUAAUCGUGAAUCAGAAUGUCACGGUGAAUGCG